AGAAAUUGACUUGAUGUGAUUUCAUCCGGUUAAAAGCUUGCUAGUUAAUUAAAUUUAUGAUCCAAUCGUCUAGAUGGAGGUGUUGGUUGAUACCAGAAGUAGGGGGAUAUAAACUAGGGAGAUAUGAGGAGAUAAGGGUGGAACAAAUAAUAGAAAUAAGGAGAAGAUAUGAGAAACUCAUAGAUUCUAUUACUUGUUGCCCAAAGCUUACAAGAUUUUCCUGAGUAGAGACUAAAGAUCGCUUAUGCCAAUGUAGAGGGUUUGAUGCUUCUUAUAGAAGAGGAAAAGAUUAUGUCGGAUGCUUUUUGGGUCUCAUUGUCACAUAUCUUUUGUCUUUUGAUAAGGUGACUUCUAUACAGCUGGUGGUGGUGUCCUUCCGAUAAGAAGGAAUCCACCUUUAUUCCCGUGAUCCUCUAGAUCACUUUUACAGCACACCCUAUAGAGUAGACUGAUUACUUUAAAGCACAUCCAUCUUAAUAAUUUACAAGACAGGAUUUAGUGAGCUAAGUCAUUGAUUCCUUAUGGGUCCACCACUUCCGCAAAGUUGUUUUUAUAGGCGAAAAGAAAUCAUCCUCUGAAUAGCGUCUUGUAGAAGGUUGACAGUGGUUUCUAGCUGUCUAUCCACUUGUUCUGUGGCUGGAUACCAAUCCAACCACCAGUUGUCGGAGGCACUUCUUUUCUGGCACUUUUGUCUUUUUAAGGAGUGGAGUAGCCUAAGCUGCUGGAGAGCAUUUGCAGCUUGAAUCAUAGCUUGCUGUUGUAAUGCAUGGAGUUGUUGGUCAGAUCUAUUGUUGUCUUCCAAUGAGAUUGGGUACUGUCGAUGCAGAAGUUGUUGAUAUUGUUUAGCGAGCUGGAGAGGGUUGCGAGAGCCUGUAUCAUCUGAACUUUGGCUUCCCUGUUGGGGUUCUCUUGUAACUCCUGUAGGGUUGGUGCCACAAGUUCUAGGUCUUCGAGAAUCUUCACCGACCAUUCUAAAACAAUAAGACAAUUUAUUAGCCAUGAUAAAGCGUCAGCUAACUGAUUGUCCUUUCCUUCAAUGUGUUCAAAAUGGAUCGAGUUGCCGAUUCCGAUAUGUAGUCUGUAAAAGCUAACCUUCUAACCCAUGAUGGUUUGUUAUCUGCAGUCUUGCCAAAGAAGCUAAUAAUUGCUUAGCAGUCUGUCCUGAUAAUAAGCUCCUUAUCAAGCUCCAAGGACUUCCACUUCUGGGACAGCGAUCUUCAUUUUCAUAGGGCUUAAUAUGAGCUCAUUCUUUUGAACUAUGUCAAGGAGGGUCCUCAGGUGCUGCACAUACAAUUGCUCAUCUAGGGAGAAGAACAAGAUGUCAUCGAUGUAUAUUGCUAUGAAAUUUUCGGUGCCUUUGAAGCAAUUGUCCAUUUUUCGUUAAAAAUUGCUGGGGCAUUUUUCAAACCAAAGGGUAUAACCAACCAUUCGUAUAAGCCGUUUGGUACCCAGAAUGUCGUUCGUUCGAUUGAAUCAGGGUGCAUGGUCACUUGAUGAAAACUGCUUUUUAGAUCAAA